rnacentral:rRNA from 1 species
GGCUCAGAACGAACGCUGGCGGCGUGCUUAACACAUGCAAGUCGAACGCGAAAGGGACUUCGGUCCUGAGUAAAGUGGCGCACGGGUGAGUAACGCGUAGAUAACCUGUCUUCAUGUCUGGAAUAAUACGCCGAAAGGGGUACUAAUACCGGAUAUUCUUGCUUUUCAUAAGUUAUGCAAGCAAAGGUGGCCUCUGCAUAUGCUACUGCAUGAAGAGGGGUCUGCGUACCAUUAGCUAGUAGGUGGGGUAAUGGCCUACCUAGGCGACGAUGGUUAGCGGGUCUGAGAGGAUGAUCCGCCACACUGGCACUGGAACACGGGCCAGACUCCUACGGGAGGCAGCAGUGAGGAAUAUUGCGCAAUGGGGGAAACCCUGACGCAGCGACGCCGCGUGAGUUGAGGAAGGCCUUCGGGUCGUAAAGCUCUGUCAAGAGGAAAGAAGUGUACAAUGGCUAAUACCUGUUGUAUUUGACGGUACCUCUAAAGGAAGCACCGGCUAACUCCGUGCCAGCCGCCGC